UUGGGUAUUUCGUUGAUCUCAGACUUUCUCGUGUAGAUUUUGGAUCCUUUUGUAUAUAUGUUUGAUCUCUACGAUUUCUUUCACCAUUUGAAACCUUUUAUAGCCUUAAGAAACAAGAGAAAAUAUAUUAAGCAGAAAAAGAGCCGUUAGAGCAUUUUUAGGAAGCAUAAAAGGCAAUUAAAACGGGCAAAAAACUAGCCGUUGCGG
rnacentral:lncRNA from 1 species